rnacentral:rRNA from 1 species
UUUCGCAAUGCCCGAAAGGGUGACGAAGCGACGCCGCGUGGGUGAGGAAGGCCUUCGGGUUGUAAAGCCCUGUCAGGAGUUAAGAAAUGUAAGUGCGCUAAUAUCGCAUUUAUUUGACGAAGGCUCCAAAGGAAGUCACGGCUAACUCUGUGCCAGCAGCCGCGGUAAUACAGAGGUGGCAAGCGUUGUUCGGAAUUAUUGGGCGUAAAGAGCACGUAGGUGGAUUUGUAAGUCAGAUGUGAAAGCCUUCUGUUCAACGGGAGAAUUGCAUCUGAAACUACAGACCUUGAGUAUAGGAGGGGAGAAUGGAACUUCUGGUGGAGCGGUGAAAUGCGUAGAUAUCAGAAGGAACGCCGGCGGCGAAAGCGAUUCUCUGGCCUAUUACUGACACUGAGUGUGCGAAAGCUAGGGGAGCAAACGGGAUUAGAUACCCCGGUAGUCCUAGCCGUAAACGAUGGGCACUAAGUAGAGGGGUUUUA